UGAAGUGGGUAUUGGGUGUGGUGUAAUGUAUGCAAGGGAUGUGAAGAAAGAGAGAUCUGAUACCAAGGGGAAGGGGGUUUUGAAUCAGAAGGUGAGACAUGCUCUUAGGCGUCGUAGGAAAGGUGCUACUGACAAUGGGACGUCGCCUUCUGUUUCAACAUAUGAUACUUUUCAGUGGGAUGCACAAUCUCUUUGUCCGUCUCCUGCCAGCGUCAGUAAAAUGGUGAAUGAGGGUAAUGAAGACAGCAUGGUACCUGAUAGUUCUGGCGGCCUUGCUCUGAAUUAUGGCGGG
rnacentral:misc_RNA from 1 species